UGCAGUCGUACGAGAAGGUUCCUUCGGGAACUGGAGAGUGGCGCACGGGUGAGUAACGCGUGGGGACCUACCUCUUAGUGGGGGAUAACGGUUGGAAACGACCGCUAAUACCGCAUACGCCCUUCGGGGGAAAGAUUUAUCGCUAAGAGAUGAACCCGCGUAAGAUUAGAUAGUUGGUGGGGUAAUGGCCUACCAAGUCUACGAUCUUUAGCUGGUCUGAGAGGACGAUCAGCCACACUGGAACUGAGACACGGUCCAGACUCCUACGGGAGGCAGCAGUGGGGAAUAUUGGACAAUGGGCGCAAGCCUGAUCCAGCCAUGCCGCGUGAGUGAAGAAGGCCUUAGGGUUGUAAAGCUCUUUCGCUAGGGAAGAUAAUGACGGUACCUAGUAAAGAAGUCCCGGCUAACUCCGUGCCAGCAGCCGCGGUAAUACGGAGGGGACUAGCGUUGUUCGGAAUUACUGGGCGUAAAGCGCACGCAGGCGGUUUGUUAAGCUAGAUGUGAAAGCCCUGGGCUCAACCUGGGAAUUGCAUUUAGAACUGGCAGGCUAGAGUUUUGGAGAGGGGAGUGGAAUUCCAGGUGUAGCGGUGAAAUGCGUAGAUAUCUGGAGGAACAUCAGUGGCGAAGG
rnacentral:rRNA from 1 species